UACGUAGGGGGCAAGCGUUGUCCGGAAUCAUUGGGCGUAAAGAGCGUGUAGGCGGCCCGGUAAGUCCGCUGUGAAAGUCGGGGGCUCAACCCUCGAAUGCCGGUGGAUACUGUCGGGCUAGAGUGCGGAAGAGGCGAGUGGAAUUCCUGGUGUAGCGGUGAAAUGCGCAGAUAUCAGGAGGAACACCCAUAGCGAAGGCAGCUUGCUGGGACGUUACUGACGCUAAGGCGCGAAAGCGUGGGGAGCGAACAGG
rnacentral:rRNA from 1 species